UAUGAAAGGCAUUAGACAAGGGCAGAACGUCUGGAUGUGCACAGCUGAAUCAACAAACUAGCCAUGAAGAAUCUGCAGAGUUUGUUGUUCUUCAGGGGUGAGAGUCUUCACGACGUCAGCACUCUUUCUUCUCCAAAACCUUGAAUGAACAAAAGGAGGAUUGUGGUCAGUCGUCCAGCAAACCCAUCAUGCUGGCCCCUGAGGCAAAGACGUCACAGACUACAGGAGACUCGCUAGAUUUGCCAGAUUCGGCAACGUUUCAUUUUGCAGUGAUGCUGAAAGCUGCUUCCUGUCCCUGCAGACACAGUGUGCGGCGGCUCUUUGAAACAGAGGACAGGAGCGCUGGGUCAGAACCGGACCUGGAUUAGGGCCGCGUGGGCCUAUCCUGUCGCCCCAGCACUGUCAUUUCAGUCAUUUCCUCCACUUCCUGUUGACGCCACUUGGCACAUCUGUACAAUAAACACAGCCUUCCUGCCCCUCCAGCCAGCAGUCCAGGAGCAGGAUGCAGGGAGGAUGGAGGUCAUCUCAGUAGAGCUUCUGUGGCUUUUGUUGGACUCACAGAUCUCUGUCCCACUGCCAGAUUCAACAUCAGCGCUCUCUCUCGAGCGGUGCCCACUGUCUAAACACUGGGC